UCAAGCAAGUAAGAGCACAAGGGGAAUGCCUUGGCACUAGGAGCCGAUGAAAGACGUGAUAAGCUGCGAAAAGCUUCGGGGAGGUGCAAAUAGCCUUUGAUCCGGAGAUAUCUGAAUGGGGAAACCUGCACGAGAGAACCUCGUGUACUGUUAAGUAAAUACAUAGCUUAACAGGGGGAACGCUGUGAACUGAAACAUCUAAGUAGCAGUAGGAGAAGAAAGAAAACUCGAUUGCCAAAGUAGCGGCGAGCGAAAUGGCAACAGGCCAAACCGAGGAACCUAGUUCUUCGGGGUUGAGGACUGCAUCAAGUGAUGGUAGAUUGUUAGUCGAAAUGUUUUGGGAAAGCAUGCCAAAGAUGGUGAAAGCCCAGUAGACGAAAACGAGAAGCCCGCUGCAGUAUCCAGAGUACCACGGGACACGAGAAACCCUGUGGGAAGCCGGAGGGACCACCCUCCAAGCCUAAAUACUCCCUAGUGACCGAUAGUGAAGCAGUACUGUGAAGGAAAGGUGAAAAGGACCCCGGGAGGGGAGUGAAAAAGAACCUGAAACCUUGUGCUUACAAACAGUCGAAGGUCUUCGGACUAACGGCGUACUUUUUGUAGAACGGUCCGGCGAGUUACUACUACUAGCGAGGUUAAAUACUAAUAAGGUAUGGAGCCGAAGGGAAACCAAGUCUUAAUAGGGCGAGAGAGUUAGUAUUAGUAGACCCGAAACCGGGUGACCUAUCCAUGUCCAGGUUGAAGUUACCGUAAAAGGUAAUGGAGGACCGAACACACAUCUGUUGAAAAAGGUGGUGAUGAGGUGUGGAUAGCGGAGAAAUUCCAAUCGAACUCGGAGAUAGCUGGUUCUCCUCGAAAUAGCUUUAGGGCUAGCCUUGAUAGAAGUCUAACGGAGGUAAAGCACUGAACUGACGCGGGUCCCCAAAAGGAUACCAACUCAUAUCAAACUAAGAAUGCCGUCAAGAUAUCAUCAGGAGUCAGACUACGUGAGAUAAGUCUCGUGGUCAAAAGGGAAAGAGCCCAGACCGACAGCUAAGGUCCCUAAGUACGUGUUAAGUGGAAAAGGAUGUGGGAUUUCACAGACAACUAGGAUGUUGGCUUAGAAGCAGCCAUACAUUUAAAGAGUGCGUAAUAGCUCACUAGUCGAGAAAACCUGCGCCGAAAAUUAUCGGGGCUAAAACACGACACCGAAGCUACGGAUUGAUAGUCAUAAGACAUCAGUGGUAGAGGAGCAUUCUGUAAGGACGAAGCGUAAUUGAAAGAGAGCGUGGACGAAACAGAAGAGAGAAUGCCGGAAUGAGUAGCGAGAUAGAAGUAAGAAACUUCUAGGCCGAAUAUCUAAGGUUUCCUGAGUAAAGCUAAUCUUCUCAGGGUAAGUCGGGGCCUAAGGCAAGGACGAGAGUCGUAGUCGAUGGAUAACAGGUUGAAAUUCCUGUACUACAAGUAAUCAGAAAUGUAGGGACGCAGGAGGAUAGGCAAACCGGGGAAUGGAAAAACCCGGUCAAGCAUAAAGCUGUGAGCAGUAGGCAAAUCCGCUGCUUGUAAGUGAAAUGUGAUGAGGACUGAAAAAUAGUAAGGAAGUUGCCGAAUCCACACUGCCGAGAAAAGCUGCUAUAGUGUUACUUGUACCCGUACCGUAAACCGACACAGGUAGAUGAGGAGAAAAUCCACAGGCCGACGGGAGAAGUGUUGUUAAGGAACUCGGCAAAAUGACCCCGUAACUUCGGGAUAAGGGGAGCCACCGCGAGGUGGUCACAGAAAAGAGGCACAAGCAACUGUUUAGCAAAAACACAGGUCUAUGCGAAACCGUAAGGUGAAGUAUAUGGGCUGACGCCUGCCCGGUGCUGGAAGGUUAAGAGGAGAGGUUAGCGCAAGCGAAGCUUUGAAUUUAAGCCCCAGUAAACGGCGGCCGUAACUAUAACGGUCCUAAGGUAGCGAAAUUCCUUGUC
rnacentral:rRNA from 1 species